rnacentral:rRNA from 1 species
AUGGCCGCCCCCGCCGUCGCCGCUGCGCCGUCGGCCCGCAAGGGAGAGACCUACACCGACACCAAGCGCCGCGACGACGUCCGCGGCGCCAACAUCGCGUCCGCGCGCUCGGUCGCCGACGCGGUGCGCACCUCCCUCGGCCCCCGCGGCAUGGACAAGAUGAUCUCCUCGGGUGACCAGGAGGUCAUCAUCACCAACGACGGCGCCACCAUCCUCUCGCGCAUGUCGCUCCUCCAGCCCGCGGCCCGCAUGCUCGCCGAGCUCUCCCGCUCGCAGGACGCGGCCGCCGGCGACGGCACCACCACCGUCGUCGUCAUCGCCGGGGCCCUGCUCCGCCGCGCGCAGUCGCUCCUCGCGGCCGGCGCCCACCCCACCGCCGCCGCCGACUCCCUCCACCGCCUCGCGGCCCGCGCCGUCCAGGUCCUCGAGGGCAUGGCCAUCCCCAUCGAGCUCACCGACCGGGACUCCCUCGUCAAGUCUGCCUCCACCGCGCUCAACUCCAAGGUCGUCUCCCAGUACUCCGGCCUCCUCGCCCCGCUCGCUGUUGACGCCGCCCUCUCCGUGGUCGAUCCCGCCCACCCGGAGCUUCUUGAUCUCCGCGACAUCCGCAUCAUAAAGAAGCUCGGCGGCACUGUCGAUGACACCGAGCUUGUCCGCGGCCUUAUCUUUGACAAGAAGGCCAGCCAUGCUGCCGGGGGGCCAUCUAGGAUCGAGAAUGCCAAGAUCGCUGUCAUCCAGUUUCAGAUCUCACCGCCCAAGACUGAUAUUGAGCAGAGCGUCAUCGUGUCAGACUAUGCGCAGAUGGACCGCAUCCUCCGCGAGGAGCGGAAUUACAUCCUAGGGAUGGUCAAGAAGAUCAAGGCUUCUGGGUGCAAUGUCCUCCUCAUCCAGAAGAGCAUCUUGCGUGAUGCCGUGACCGAGUUGUCGCUGCACUAUCUCGCAAAGGCCAAGAUUCUGGUGGUCAAGGAUGUAGAGAGGGACGAGAUUGAGUUUAUCACCAAGACUCUCAACUGCCUGCCAAUUGCCAACAUUGAGCAUUUCCGUGAGGAUAAGCUUGGGUAUGCUGAUGUUGUCGAGGAAGUGUCUGCUGGAGAUGGCAAGAUUGUCAAGAUCACCGGGAUCAGGGACAUGGGGAGGACUGCAACUGUGCUUGUCCGUGGGUCCAACCAGUUGGUUAUUGAUGAAGCUGAUCGCAGUCUCCAUGACGCCCUAUGUGUCAUCAGGUGCUUGGUGAACAAGAGGUUUUUAAUUGCUGGUGGCGGUGCUCCGGAAAUAGAAAUGUCAAUGCAACUGGCUGCUUGGUCAAAGGAGCUCCAUGGGAUGGAGAGUUACUGCAUCAAGGAGUUUGCCGACGCACUUGAGGUCAUCCCUUACACACUGGCUGAGAAUGCAGGGCUCAACCCAAUCGCCAUUGUUACCGAGCUAAGGAAUCGCCAUGCCAAGGGUGAGAAGAACACGGGCAUCAACGUGAGGAAAGGCCAGAUCACAAACAUCCUGGAGGAGAAUGUCGUGCAGCCGUUGCUUGUGAGCACGAGCGCCAUCUCGCUGGCGUGCGAGUGCGUUAGAAUGAUCUUGAAGAUUGAUGAUAUAGUCACUGUAAGGUAA